AUUUAUUUCCAAGCAAACUUUGCAUCCACCUGCAUCUCCUAGACUUGUCUGAACCCAUUCUCACCACAGUACCAGCAUGAAACUCCGAAGAGGAGCUGGGAAAGGACUCUGGAGUAGCCUGGAGCCAUAACUACACUUUGAAAAGUGGAGAGGACAAAUGUGAAGGGAGCACAUAUGACAAGCAGGAGACCUGAAAAAAAGCACUCCAAAGCCCUGUGAGGCAUAGAUGACCAAAUUGCUUGUUUUUCUUUGGCUGCAUUCACUUUGCUUGCUCCAGGUAACCUAAUCCU